UGAGAGGAAGCAGAAAAAGAAAGAAGCAAAAAAAAUAAAGACAAAAGGCAACGUUAACGAGACAGCUAACGUUGAGGCUUCAGAUCCAACACUCACAGAGCAAGUAGAGAGCUUGUUACUACACAACUGAAAGAUAAAAUCAAUGAUGUAGCCAAUGUUUUGUGGGAGGGCUUCAAAGUCAUGGAGCGGAGCCGCAGAAGAUGGACAAAGUUGUGGAUGAUAAAUUGGAGAAAUUGUUUUUAUUGACAAAAUGGCAAGGGCAAAAUUGGCACUUUGAAGCCAAAAUGGUAAGUGGAAAUCAGUUUCUAAGCGAAC
rnacentral:lncRNA from 1 species